rnacentral:misc_RNA from 1 species
UCACGCCCCUAUAGGGGAGAAA